rnacentral:snRNA from 1 species
AUGCGUCGAUCGCACGAGCUCAUU